rnacentral:lncRNA from 10 species
GCCUUGGGGAGGAAGUGAUCUGCGUCUGCACUCAAGACAGCACUGUAUGCCUUCAACUUGCUGUGUCCAUCUGUCUUCCUGGCUUCCUCAUCUCUCACAGUGAAUUUCUUUUGGUUUUCAAAACAUCACACAAAAGGCAGUAGGCUUCCAUUCUAGUUUUAUGGUGUCACCAAGUGCCUCCUGACUUGAGCAAGUCAGUUUUCCUCCUCCUGCCAUCCUCCUCCGACCUAAUGGCCUUCCAUUCAUGACAUCCUGUGAUUGUGUUUGUUCAUCCUCCACCCCCUUCAAAUGUCAUCAUUCCCUUACUUAAAUUUCUACAGCACGUGUUAUUAAUUUCCAAUUGUGUUGUGUGCUGACUUCUCUUAGGCACUCUAUUCCUUAAAAAUAGAGUCUAGGUUUUUCUUAUUUUAAAAUUCAUUUAUUCAAAAAUGUUGGUUUAAAACCUAUUAUGAGCCAGGGAGGGUUGUAGUGUAGGCAGUGUGUGUAGAGCAAAGAAGCAAACAAAAUCUUUGCCCUCUGGG